rnacentral:rRNA from 1 species
AUAUGUAGGGGGCGAGCGUUGUCCGGAAUGAUUGGGCGUAAAGGGCGCGUAGGCGGCCCGGUAAGUCUGGAGUGAAAGUCCUGUUUUUAAGAUGGGAAUUGCUUUGGAUACUGUCGGGCUUGAGUGCAGGAGAGGUAAGUGGAAUUCCCAGUGUAGCGGUGAAAUGCGUAGAGAUUGGGAGGAACACCAGUGGCGAAGGCGACUUGCUGGACUGUAACUGACGCUGAGGCGCGAAAGUGUGGGGAGCAAACAGGAUUAGAUACCCUGGUAGUCCACACUGUAAACGAUGAAUGCUAGGUGUAGGGGGUAUCGACCCCUUCUGUGCCGCAGUCAACACAAUAAGCAUUCCGCCUGGGGAGUACGGCCGCAAGGUUGAAACUCAAAUGAAUUGGCGGGG